rnacentral:rRNA from 1 species
UACGUAGGUGACAAGCGUUUGUCCGGAUUUACUGGGCGUAAAGAGCGCGCAGGCGGUCGUUCAAGUCGAGUGUGAAAGCCCCCCGGCUCAACUGGGGAGGGUCACUCGAUACUGAUCGACUCGAAGGCAGGAGAGGGUAGUGGAAUUCCCGGUGUAGUGGUGAAAUGCGUAGAUAUCGGGAGGAACACCAGUGGCGAAGGCGACUACCUGGCCUGUUCUUGACGCUGAGGCGCGAAAGCUAGGGGAGCAAACAGGGAUAGAAACCCUGAGUACGUCC